GUGACAGCAGCCGCGGUAAGACAGAGGGUGCAAACGUUGUUCGGAAUUACUGGGCGUAAAGCGAGUGUAGGCGGUCUGCUAAGUCGGGUGUGAAAGCCCCGGGCUCAACCCGGGAAGUGCACUCGAAACUGGCAGGCUAGAGUAUCGGAGAGGUUGGUGGAAUUCUCGGUGUAGAGGUGAAAUUCGUAGAUAUCGAGAGGAACACCGGUGGCGAAGGCGGCCAACUGGACGAAUACUGGCGCUGAGACUCGAAAGCGUGGGGAGCAAACAGGAUUAGAUACCCUUGUAGUCC
rnacentral:rRNA from 1 species